GACGAACGCUGGCGGCGUGCUUAACACAUGCAAGUCGAACGAUGAUGCCCAGCUUGCUGGGCGGAUUAGUGGCGAACGGGUGAGUAACACGUGAGUAACCUGCCCCUGACUCUGGGAUAAGCGUUGGAAACGACGUCUAAUACUGGAUAUGAUCGCCGACCGCAUGGUCUGGUGGUGGAAAGAUUUUUUGGUUGGGGAUGGACUCGCGGCCUAUCAGCUUGUUGGUGAGGUAAUGGCUCACCAAGGCGACGACGGGUAGCCGGCCUGAGAGGGUGACCGGCCACACUGGGACUGAGACACGGCCCAGACUCCUACGGGAGGCAGCAGUGGGGAAUAUUGCACAAUGGGCGAAAGCCUGGUGCAGCAACGCCGCGUGAGGGAUGACGGCCUUCGGGUUGUAAACCUCUUUUAGUAGGGAAGAAGCGAAAGUGACGGUACCUGCAGAAAAAGCACCGGCUAACUACGUG
rnacentral:rRNA from 1 species